rnacentral:lncRNA from 1 species
AGAGAGAGAGAGAGAGAGAGAGAGGAGCAGACCUUUGAUCGAGCUGCUUUCCAAUGAAGAUGAGAUGCGAGCCUAAGAGAGUCUGAGAGACUGAGAUAGCGAGAGUGUGCGAGUGCGAGACAGUGAGACUGGGCGAGAGUUUGAGAACUAGACAGCGAGAGUGUGCGAGUGCGAGUGUGCGACAACGACUCAACAAGAGUUCGAGUGUUCGACUGUUCGAGAGCGAGACUGCGACUCUGCGACUGCGAGAGUUCGACUGUUCGAGAGUGAGACUGAGAGAGUUGACCCUCUCAAUUUAGUUUAGGUGUUUGACCGGCCAUAAAUCCUGUGUGGUUGAGCUCAUUCUAUUAUCGUAGAUCCUUAGAUACACCCAAUAAAAGUAUGACAUGUAUAUUAGUCGGGCUCUCGGGCUUUUUUUCAUUUCCAUAAACAAGGCCUGGGCCCGGACCGGUUAUACACGGGCCCGGCCCGAACCUCCAAUAAACAUAGUCGGGACCAGUAUAAAGCUCGGCCCGGCCCUGCCCGGUCGGGCCGGCCGGUCCGGAUCGGGCUUUUUAUCUCCAACGGGCUUUAUGCCCACCCCUAGUAACACCUUGGACCUAAUUUUACCAGUUUACCGGAUUUCUAUUAAUUACUAGAGAAUUUAACCGUGCUUGGUAACUUGGUAAUUUAAUACACGAGUUCAUUUUUGAGUUUUUCUCAAAUUAUUAAAUUCUUCUUUUAAGGCCUGAUGUCGUAGCACACGACGAUACGAGUUCACCGACGUCUUUAGAUUAUUUUUCGGAGCUUCGAACUAUUUUCUACAAUAAGUUUUGGUAAAAAGAAAUUAUUUUUUUUCUGGAAUUAGAAAAUAGCUCAUUUAAUCUGAGCCAUAGGAUCAAGUAGGGUUUUAAUCUCAACUAUUGAAUUGAAUUUAAAUAGGAAAGAGGGUUGUUGACCAAGUCAAAAGCCACUUUGGGCAUUAACCGUCUCUCUCUCCUCUCCUCGACUCUCUCUCUCUCAUCCCUCAUCUUUGCCACGCCGGAGUGGCGCUGUCCGGCCACCUAUGGCGACAAGACCCCACCAAUCUCUUCCUCUCCCUCUUCUUUACAAAAUCUAGCCUUCAAUUCACCCGUGCAUGAACCCUAGUAGGAGAUUGACCAGAAGAGGCACAGCGGUCCUCCGGCAAUUCUUGUUGAUGUCGGCCACGACUUGGCGCUCGAACGGNNNNN